rnacentral:rRNA from 1 species
GAUGAACGUUGGCGGUUGCCUAAUACAUGCAAGUCGAACGGAGACUGUAGCAAUACUGUCUUAGUGGCGAACGGGUGAGUAACGCGUUGGUGAUCUGCCUCGAAGUGUGGAAUAACCUCCCGAAAGGGAAGCUAAUACCGCAUAGUCUCUCAAGGUUUAGAAAAUUGAGAGUAAAGGAUUUAUUCGCUUCGAGAGGAGCCUGCGUCCCAUCAGCUAGUUGGUAGGGUAACGGCCUACCAAGGCAAUGACGGGUAGGGGACCUGAGAGGGUGGCCCCCCACAAUGGAACUGAAACACGGUCCAUACACCUACGGGUGGCAGCAGUAGGGAAUAUUAGUAAUGGGCGAAAGCCUGAACUAGCAACGCCGCGUGUGCGAAGAAGGCCUUCGGGUUGUAAAGCACUUUUUGAGAGGAUGAGGAAGGACGGUACUCUCAGAAUAAGUCUCGGCUAACUACGUG